UCCCUGGUGGCUCAGAUGGUAAAGCGUCUGCCUGCAAUGCGGGAGACCUGGGUUCAAUCCUUGGGUAGGGAA
rnacentral:tRNA from 1 species